rnacentral:rRNA from 1 species
ACGAACGCUGGCGGCGUGCUUAACACAUGCCAGUCGAACGGAAAGGCCCUGCUUUUGUGGGGUGCUCGAGUGGCGAACGGGUGAGUAACACGUGAGUAACCUGCCCUUGACUUUGGGAUAACUUCAGGAAACUGGGGCUAAUACCGGAUAGGAGCUCCUGCGGCAUGGUGGGGGUUGGAAAGUUUCGGCGGUUGGGGAUGGACUCGCGGCUUAUCAGCUUGUUGGUGGGGUAGUGGCUUACCAAGGCUUUGACGGGUAGCCGGCCUGAGAGGGUGACCGGCCACAUUGGGACUGAGAUACGGCCCAGACUCCUACGGGAGGCAGCAGUGGGGAAUAUUGCACAAUGGGCGGAAGCCUGAUGCAGCAACGCCGCGUGCGGGAUGACGGCCUUCGGGUUGUAAACCGCUUUCGCCUGUGACGAAGCGUGAGUGACGGUAAUGGGUAAAGAAGCACCGGCUAACUACGUG